rnacentral:rRNA from 1 species
GAUUAAGCCAUGCAUGUCUAAGUAUAAAUCUGGUUCUAGAUGAAACUGCGAAUGGCUCAUUAAAUCAGUUCUAGUUUCUUUGAUGGUAUCUAACUACAUGGAUAACCGUAGUAACAUAGAGCUAAUACAUGCUUGAAUUCCUGACUGGUUGCUCUCGGGCAAUCGGAAUAGGAUGUAUUUAUUAGAUCCAAAACCAAUGCGUUACUUGCGUCGCUUAACGGUGGCGUGAGUGGCGGUUAAUUUGGUGAUUCAUGCUAACUUUUCGGAUCGCAUGGCCUUGCGCUGGCGACGCUUCAUACAAGUUUCUGCCCUAUCAACUGUCGAUGGUAGGGUAUUGGCCUACCAUGGUUGUAACGGGUGACGGAGAAUUAGGGUUCGAUUCCGGAGAGGGAGCCUGAGAAACGGCUACCACAUCUAUGGAUGGCAGCAGGCGCGCAAAUUACCCAAUCCCGACCUGGGGAGGUAGUGACAAUAAAUAACAAUGCGGUCCAAAUUUGGUUCUGCAAUUGGAAUGAGAACAAUGUAAAUACCUUAACGAGGAGCAAUUGGAGGGCAAGUCUGGUGCCAGCAGCCGCGGUAAUUCCAGCUCCAAUAGCGUAUAUUAAAGUUGUUGCAGUUAAAAAGCUCGUAGUUGGAUUUCGGAACGGUCGGGUUGGUCCGCCCUGAGUGGUGUGUACUAGCCUUGGUAUGUAUGGUUGGGGCGCCCUUGUGGUGUUUCUAACCUGCUGCCCGUGCUGCACGUGUGUGUAGCAUGUGAUCGUUCUUCUCCCUCGGAGACGAGGUCUGUCCUUGAUUGGGUGGGCUUUGGAUGCGAGGUGUUUACUUUGAAAAAAUUAGAGUGUUCAAAGCAGGCCAUUUCUCGCUUGAAUACAUUAGCAUGGAAUAAUGGAAUAGGACUCUGUGUCUAUUUUGUUGGUUUGAAGGCAGAGAGUAAUGAUUAAUAGGGACAGUUGGGGGCAUUCGUAUUUAAUUGUCAGAGGUGAAAUUCUUGGAUUUCUGAAAGACGAACAACUGCGAAAGCAUUUGCCAAGGAUGUUUUCAUUAAUCAAGAACGAAAGUUAGGGGUUCGAAGACGAUCAGAUACCGUCGUAGUCCUAACCAUAAACAAUGCCGACUAGGGAUCAGC